AACGAACGCUGGCGGCAUGCCUAACACAUGCAAGUCGAACGAGACCUUCGGGUCUAGUGGCGCACGGGUGCGUAACGCGUGGGAACCUGCCCUUAGGUUCGGAAUAACUCCCCGAAAGGGGUGCUAAUACCGGAUAAUGUCUUCGGACCAAAGAUUUAUCGCCUUUGGAUGGGCCCGCGUUGGAUUAGCUAGUUGGUAGGGUAAAAGCCUACCAAGGCGACGAUCCAGAGCUGGUCUGAGAGGAUGAUCAGCCACACUGGGACUGAGACACGGCCCAGACUACUACGGGAGGCAGGGGUAGGGAAUAAUGGAGGAUGGGCGAGGGCCUGAUCCAGCAAUGCGGCGUGAGAGCUGAAGGCGUUAGGGAAGUAAGGCUGUCUUGCCCGGGGUGGGAAUGACGGUAGCGGGAGAAUAAGCUCCGGCUAACUACGUG
rnacentral:rRNA from 1 species